GUGCUCGCUUCGACAGCACAUAUACUAAAAUUGGAACAACACAGAGAUUAACAUGGCCCCUGCACAAGGAUGGCAUACAAAUUCGUGAAGCAUUCCUUUUUUUA